AAACAAUCACUUUAUAAUGUGUCCCCUGCUGUAUAGUCCAAAACCACUGCACGAUGUCUCUGUGCACCAAAUACUGGCGAGAUGUCACCGUGUUGAAAAGUCCAAACAGUGUCUGUGAGUUAAAAUGGCCGCCAUCCAUUGUUCUCACUGUGCUUCAUCCAUUGUUCUCACCAUGUGCCUCUGAUACAGGAAAUGGUGGCCACCCAGUAACUCCACAGUAUGUCCCCAGAUGGUUCUUAAAGGGCCAGCAGCAGCACAACACAAAUCCCUUAUGCCCAAACCAUGUCUUUAAAGGGCAAUACAUCCCAGGGGCCAUAGUCACAUGGCAGGAGGCUGGCAGUCUUCUCCAAUGCCCAGUUGCGAGGUCAGUUUCGCCACAAACAGGUUUAUUUACAUCCAGUUAUCCCUAGUGUCCAAGUGUGAGCAGCAAUACUGAAAAUUGCCCAAAUAACUCCACAGCCUAAAACAGAUUAUAACAAAACAUUUAGACAGUCUGAUA